rfam:Canis lupus familiaris chromosome 2, whole genome shotgun sequence.
GCCUGGGUGGCUCAGUGGUUGAGCGUCUGCCUUUGGCUUAGGUUGUGAUCCUGGGGUCCUGGGAUCGAAUCCCACAUCAGGCU